UACGUAGGGUGCGAGCGUUAUUCGGAAUUACUGGGCGUAAAGCGUGCGCAGGCGGCUGUGUAAGACCGCUGUUAAAUCCCCGGGCUUAACCUGGGAACUGCAUUGGUGACUGCACGGCUAGAGUGUGUCAGAGGGGGGUAGAAUUCCACGUGUAGCAGUGAAAUGCGUAGAUAUGUGGAGGAAUACCGAUGGCGAAGGCAGCCCCCUGGGAUAACACUGACGCUCAUGCACGAAAGCGUGGGGAGCAAACAGG
rnacentral:rRNA from 1 species